rnacentral:rRNA from 1 species
UCCAGUGGACGCAAGGGUGAGGAACACGUGAACAACCUGCCUUCGAGUUGGGGAUAGCUUCUGGAAACGGAGAUAAUACCGAAUAACAUCGACCGGAUCGCAUGAUUUGGUCGAUCAAAGCAGCAAUGCGCUUGAAGAGGGUUCGCGUCCCAUUAGCUAGUGGUGAGGUACGGCCCACCAAGGCGAUGAUGGGUAGCUGGUCUGAGAGGACGAUCAGCCACAUUGGGACUGAGAUACUGCCCAGACUCCUACGGGAGGCUGCAGUCGAGAAUUUUGGGCAAUGGACGAAAGUCUGACCCAGCAAAAUGCCCGCGUGCGGGAUGAAAGGUCUUCGGAUUGUAAACCGCUGUCAAGAGGGACGAAACAUGACGGUACCUCUGGAGGAAGCCACGGCUAACUACGUGCCAGCAGCUGC